rnacentral:lncRNA from 1 species
GGGGACGCCUGCAGAGCGCAUGGGCAGAGCCACCGUACGUCCGUUUGUCUGGAUCGGAGGGGAGAGAGUGGGCGCCAUCUUCUUCUGGGUUCGCUGAGGGCUCUCCCGGCUCUGGGGAGGCUGCUGCGGACGAGGAGUGCUCCCCGCCCCCAGCCUUGGGGUUCCGACUCGGCGGCAGCGUUAAGUUGCUUUUACAGAAUUAACAGGUCUGCAAGAAAUAAAAAGGUCAUUAUUGCUG